rnacentral:lncRNA from 1 species
CCCCGUAGUGGGUUGUCUCUUUUCACGGGCUACAAGGAUUCCAUAAAGGGAUGGGUUGAGAAUUUCCUUGUGGCGGAGCUGAAAUUAGAAUCCGCCUUAUCAUGGGAAGUGGAUCUAAGUUGGGAGGAUGUUCCUCCGGGCUGCAAUGACCUGCCCCGAUUGAGCCUUAUUGAGCAGGUGGGGUUGCUUCGACUGACUUCUGUUGAGAGGAAGUAUGACGUCGAGAAGUGUAUGUUCGUGUCUAAUCUUAGGGAUAUCCGGGACACGGGUAUAGUGCCUCGUCCAGUGAUUCUGUUUCUUCUUUGUAAAUGAUAUUAUA